rnacentral:rRNA from 1 species
UACGUAGGGGGCGAGCGUUGUCCGGAUUUAUUGGGCGUAAAGAGCGUGUAGGCGGCCAGGUAGGUCUGCUGUGAAAACUCGAGGCUCAACCUCGAGACGUCGGCGGAAACCAUCUGGCUAGAGUCCGGAAGAGGAGAGUGGAAUUCCUGGUGUAGCGGUGAAAUGCGCAGAUAUCAGGAAGAACACCCGUGGCGAAAGCGGCUCUCUGGAACGGUACUGACGCUGAGACGCGAAAGCGUGGGGAGCAAACAGG